AUUGAACGCUGGCGGCAUGCCUUACACAUGCAAGUCGAACGGUAACAGGUCUUCGGAUGCUGACGAGUGGCGAACGGGUGAGUAAUACAUCGGAACGUGCCCGAGAGUGGGGGAUAACGAAGCGAAAGCUUUGCUAAUACCGCAUACGAUCUCAGGAUGAAAGCAGGGGACCGCAAGGCCUUGCGCUCACGGAGCGGCCGAUGGCAGAUUAGGUAGUUGGUGGGAUAAAAGCUUACCAAGCCGACGAUCUGUAGCUGGUCUGAGAGGACGACCAGCCACACUGGGACUGAGACACGGCCCAGACUCCUACGGGAGGCAGCAGUGGGGAAUUUGGACAAUGGGCGCAAGCCUGAUCCAGCCAUGCCGCGUGCAGGAUGAAGGCCUUCGGUUGUAAACUGCUUUGUACGGACGAAAGAACUCUGGUUAAUACCUGGGGUCCAUGACGGUACCGUAAGAAUAAGCACCGGCUAACUACGUGCCAGCAGCCG
rnacentral:rRNA from 1 species